AGGAGGGUGUUCUGCAAGUUGAGGUUUUUCUCUUCAGGGCAUGAGGGAGCCCUUUUUGUUAAGCUGUCUAUGCAAGGUGUUCAGAUUCUUGCUUGGGUCUGUGGGUUACUACAUCCUUGCACUGCUGAGGGCCUUGAAACUUUUAAGGGGUAAAGUCUGUCUUUUCCUUGGGCUCUUCUCUUGCCAGAAUGUGUUAUGUGGUGUCCUGGGUGGCAGCAGCAACCCUGCAGGCAAGAGCACAGGAAAGCUCCUUAGUGGAAAAGCUCUGUAAGUGCAGAUGGUAAACACUCAGAAAGGCUGGGUGUCGUUGGCUGCCUUUUGAUGGGGAAGGAUUUCUUCUUCUGCCCUACCUAAAAAAAGGGGAUGAUGCAACUUUACUCUGAUACCAUGUAACAUCUACAGCUAUAAGCUGUUUUAUUAAUCUAUCUGGGUGAUCUUACAGGUCUGCUAAGGCUAGAGAGCCUCAGCUAGGCUGAUGUGAAAUAGAGCCUGCCCUAACCUUCAGACUGGAGGUGAUCUGCUUCCAACAUUUCUUCGUCCUCCAAGCCCCAAGCAUGGGCAACUAUCAGCAGGAAAGCACCUAUAGCAGAGAGCCCUGGUCUCACAGCAGUUGUCUGUCUGUCUGCAAGCACCAUAUGGCAUGGCCUUUGCCUGCAGCCUUAGGACACCUGUGAAGUCAGGAGUUUUCAUCACCAUCAGCACAGUUCAUCUGGUUGCUGUAGACACUGACAUCAUGUCAUGUGCCUGGAUGAGGUCGUUGGUGAAGUCAGUUGCAAAAUCGUUGAUCACGUUACCAACUCUGUUAAAAUUGGUGUUUUGGAAGGAGAGCAGGCAGAUGGGAGCUGAGUCUCUGGGACCAGUGUCAGCCUUUCCUGGUGAGGAGGUGGCAAGUGAUUUGUUUCCAGGGAAUGCCUCGUUUGGACCCUGUGGCAUCACAUGUUACUCCUGGUCACUCACAGAAGCAGCAGGGCCAUGA
rnacentral:lncRNA from 1 species